rnacentral:pre_miRNA from 1 species
UCUUAUGGAUGAGCAAAGAAAGUGGUUUCUUAAAAUGGAAAUUACUUCUGGUGAAGGUGCUAUGAA